GUGAAGGUAGACACUAUUGCUAAGAUUGUCCUGUAGUAUUCUAUUGUAGAUAACCAUGAUGUUAGUGACCAAGCUAGAUACGUUUCAUAAGACAGUUGUGACAAAAAAUAAUUAUUGAAAACUACUAAGAUCUUAGGUCUUAAUGAUUUAUCUGCUUCUAGCCAAUGAAUGGUUUGUGUAAACCAUGUAUCAGAGUAGCGUUUCACUGAUCAACAAGAAAGAAUGGAGACUUCUAUCAGGUAGUCUUUGGGUUUUUUUGCUGAGACCUGAGGCCAUAGAUCUGAGCUAUGUGAACUGUCCCAUUUAUAUCAUCAGAACUAUUUUACAUACUCAAUGAUGCUAAUCCAACUUGAACAGAUUCUCUACGUAAAUAGAGGCCCCCAAUAGUAUCUGCAACUCCUGUAAGCAUUGUGCACACUUGUGUGGGCUUGGCAGACCUGAUUGGAGCUCCCAUAAACCCAAACCAUAUCCUGUGGUAUAUAAUAGAUAUUAUAUGGAUUCACUCUUAAGUCCUGCUCUGUCACAGUGUUAAUCUUUUCACCACUUGUGAAAGACAGAAGAGGGAAAUUGACAGUACUAUUGUCAGCAGAAGAUAAUGAGUGGCAUUUCUGCUGGGUAUUGUGAGGUGGCACCUAGAAAAUGAUGUCUGUUUAUUUUAUCUAGCUUUGCUUUGUUCAUUCUGAUACACUUAGCCAAAGGAUCCAAACAGUAUAACUGAGCAUGAAGUUUGACUGACUAGCCUCAUAAGCUUUGUCUAGAGUAAUGAGUUGUAGAGUACCAUAGGAUGGACAUAGAUAUUGGAGGUCAGUCAUCUCUACUUUGAAAACUCGGGGGGGGGAGGGAGAGGGGAAGGGAAGGAAAGGAAUAAAAAAGCCCAUCUGAUCUCUGACAGGGCCCAAGAGAUUUUCUUCCACUCUCCUGGAAGGAGAUUGAUUUUCUUCUUUCUCUCCUGGAGGAUGUGUCUUACAUCAGAAGGACCUUCCAUGUUCUCACAUUUCCCAUUUUACACUGUGAAAGCGAAGGGAGCAGAAUUGAGACUCAGGUAAAUUUUCUACUCAGUUUUAAUUUAGUCUCUAGAGCCAAAGGAUGAAAUUAUGGUGCCUGCUCUUUAAUUUGGAUAGCACAAUGCAUGGUCUCCAAAGAGUACAUGAAACAGGAGAACAACUUUGUGCAGAAUCCUGUUUGGGGAUUUCAGGUAGGAAAAAAUUGGCUUGCGGACAGGAUUUGACAAAAGGCUAUCAUACCUUUUUCUAGUGUGAAUGUUGAUUUAGUUUGAGAAUAUGCAGCAUACUGAAGAAUUAAUCUCCAGCCAGUUAAAGGACUGUUUAAGACAUCUUGGUGGUUUCAAUCAAUAAUCCAGAAAGAUAAAUGGUUUAAAGCUUUCUAAACAGCAACUUUAUUUGAAAAGAAUAAAAAUUAAAGAUGCAACUGCAAUUGCAACAUCUUUUUAUGCAGCCAGACUAGAAAACUCAGAGAU
rnacentral:lncRNA from 1 species